CCGUCACCGACGCGCAGCGUCGGUCCUCAUUGCGGC
rnacentral:other from 19 species